CCGGGCGUUGGAGUGUCUGGGACGGUGGUUCUGCGGAAUCACACGGGUGGCCGCGGUGGGUCAGCGAGGUGGCAGUGUGUCCGCCCGCCCCUGCGCGCUCUGCCCUGUUGGUGGAAAAGGCAAGACUGGAGGCUUUGCCCUGACGCUGGUCUUGCUAUCCGGGUGCGGCUUCUCCCACCCUCUACUCCGGGGCAAGGGGUCCUGUGGGGACUGACUUCCCUGAAGAAGGAAGGAGGAAAGGGACAAAUGAAGGAUAAAGGGUGACGCUCAUACGUUGGUGGUAGGACAGUAAAUGGUGCAGCUACGUGGAGAACACUGUGGUGACCCCCACAAAAAAACUGCAUGUGACUCAGACUCUCCACUGCUAGGAAGAAGGGGGCCAUGGCUGAUGUUCUAAAGUCCCAAGAAACAAGCAAGAACACAGUCCAAGGAUGAAAUGGAUAUAGAAAAUUCGGAUUUUCUGGAGGAGGCACAGAGGUGUGUUUAAUCAGAGGGAGGACAGUCAGGUGUGGAAAUGAGAAAGCAGCGAGAACACGGUGAGGACGCAUUUCCCUGGGACGCCUGUCUGUGACAACAACAGAGACGUGGCAGGGCAGGUCUGCUUCUCAGAGGACCCAGCUUCACACAGAACUCUACCAGGCCUCUGGAAUGAUCAAUUCCUGUGGGUUAGAACCUGUUGACAGGAGCAGACAUGAGCCUGCAGUGUUGCUCAGAGGAAGAGGAUCAGUGGUCACCAUUCUGUUCUGCUGGUUCCAGCUUCUGGAAAAGGAACUAUAGAUGUGGACAGUUCUGGACCUGUGUGCCCCCGACACAAUUUCAACAGAGUCCUGGCGAAGGUUUUGCCUUACCAUGAACUGCUCUGUGUGGACUACCCAAGAAUGGAUCCUACGGGGAAAAAAUAAAAAUCAUUUUGUGUUUUAGA